CGCGUGAGCAAUCUGCCUUUAAGAGGGGGAUAACAGUCGGAAACGGCUGCUAAUACCGCAUAAAGCAUCAAAUUCGCAUGUUUUUGAUGCCAAAGGAGCAAUCCGCUUUUAGAUGAGCUCGCGUCUGAUUAGCUGGUUGGCGGGGUAACGGCCCACCAAGGCGACGAUCAGUAGCCGGACUGAGAGGUUGAACGGCCACAUUGGGACUGAGACACGGCCCAG
rnacentral:rRNA from 1 species